rnacentral:lncRNA from 1 species
CAUAUUUCAUGUACUCAUAGACCAACAAUCUUUCCUCUCCAACCUUGCAGUAUCCCAGAAGAGGAACAAGGUUUCUGUGCUUGAUUUUGCCAAUGGUUUCCAUCUCUGCUGUGAAUUCCCUGUCCCCUUGUCCACUUACAUGUAUUAGUUUCUUGAUGGCCACAACACUUCCAUCUUUCAGCUGAGCUUUAUACACAUCACCGAAACCACCGGAACCAAUGAGACUAUCGUUGUGAAAGCCAUUGGUUGCCUCUAGAAGAUCCGCGAAAGUGAGCUUUCGGAGGGGCUUUUCAAACGUUGCAAGGUUUAUGCUGAGAGCUUCGCGGGCACUGGUCAGCUUCCAGCCAGAAUUAUUGGCAUUACCAGAAUGAGAAUUGUCAAUGUAGCCAUCAAUGGCAGCCUCCUUUUUCUUUCUCCUCUUUCUUGUCUCAAUAGCA